UCGUGCUAUAUGGGGAGCUAGCGGUGCCCUGUAACCUGCAAUCCGCUAUAGCAGGAUUGAAUUCCCACUAUAGAAUUUAAUUAUCGACAGUGGGUGCACGA
rnacentral:SRP_RNA from 1 species